rnacentral:rRNA from 1 species
UUGCUCCCUGAUGUUAGCGGCGGACGGGUGAGUAACACGUGGGUAACCUGCCUGUAAGACUGGGAUAACUCCGGGAAACCGGGGCUAAUACCGGAUGCUUGUUUGAACCGCAUGGUUCAAACAUAAAAGGUGGCUUCGGCUACCACUUACAGAUGGACCCGCGGCGCAUUAGCUAGUUGGUGAGGUAACGGCUCACCAAGGCAACGAUGCGUAGCCGACCUGAGAGGGUGAUCGGCCACACUGGGACUGAGACACGGCCCAGACUCCUACGGGAGGCAGCAGUAGGGAAUCUUCCGCAAUGGACGAAAGUCUGACGGAGCAACGCCGCGUGAGUGAUGAAGGUUUUCGGAUCGUAAAGCUCUGUUGUUAGGGAAGAACAAGUACCGUUCGAAUAGGGCGGUACCUUGACGGUACCUAACCAGAAAGCCACGGCUAACUACGUGCCAGCAGCCGCGGUAAUACGUAGGUGGCAAGCGUUGUCCGGAAUUAUUGGGCGUAAAGGGCUCGCAGGCGGUUUCUUAAGUCUGAUGUGAAAGCCCCCGGCUCAACCGGGGAGGGUCAUUGGAAACUGGGGAACUUGAGUGCAGAAGAGGAGAGUGGAAUUCCACGUGUAGCGGUGAAAUGCGUAGAGAUGUGGAGGAACACCAGUGGCGAAGGCGACUCUCUGGUCUGUAACUGACGCUGAGGAGCGAAAGCGUGGGGAGCGAACAGGAUUAGAUACCCUGGUAGUCCACGCCGUAAACGAUGAGUGCUAAGUGUUAGGGGGUUUCCGCCCCUUAGUGCUGCAGCUAACGCAUUAAGCACUCCGCCUGGGGAGUACGGUCGCAAGACUGAAACUCAAAGGAAUUGACGGGGGCCCGCACAAGCGGUGGAGCAUGUGGUUUAAUUCGAAGCAACGCGAAGAACCUUACCAGGUCUUGACAUCCUCUGACAAUCCUAGAGAUAGGACGUCCCCUUCGGGGGCAGAGUGACAGGUGGUGCAUGGUUGUCGUCAGCUCGUGUCGUGAGAUGUUGGGUUAAGUCCCGCAACGAGCGCAACCCUUGAUCUUAGUUGCCAGCAUUCAGUUGGGCACUCUAAGGUGACUGCCGGUGACAAACCGGAGGAAGGUGGGGAUGACGUCAAAUCAUCAUGCCCCUUAUGACCUGGGCUACACACGUGCUACAAUGGACAGAACAAAGGGCAGCGAAACCGCGAGGUUAAGCCAAUCCCACAAAUCUGUUCUCAGUUCGGAUCGCAGUCUGCAACUCGACUGCGUGAAGCUGGAAUCG